GGAAAGGGAGGAGCAGUUAAUUGCAGUCUUCCCAAACACAAAUGCACAGAGGCACCAUAUCGAGCAGGUCUAAAUCAGAGGCAUUCCUGUCUUAAGCUCCCACACUGGAACAGGCCAGGAAGGAGUUAAUGGACUGACCUGGAGAUGAGGUGGAAACUGCCUGCACCUCACUACACCUGUUAUCAACACCAAGUUCCUCCCUGCAGCUGGGAGGAAUAAAAUGGAUGGCAGCAGACUUCAGAGCUGGCUGCCCUGGCAGAGGAAUGGUGGAUCUGAGGCAGAGAGGACCUAAAGUGUGGACUCCACAACCUUGAGGUGGGAGAGGAGAAGUUGCUACAGGAAGCACGAGAGAAGCUUGCAGUGGCAGAAACUGUCCUAACCGUGGAGCCACAGGAAGUGACCCUCCACCCCACAGGCAUUCAUUCUAUCUACAAGCAUCACCAAUUGCAGGACAUAAUAUUCAAGAUAAGGGGCCAACAAUGACUCCUCUGAUGUACAAUGGUGGGUGUAGCUGUCUCCUACUGAUUAACUAAAAAUUCUUGGUACUCUUGAAGGAUGUGCUACCUCUGCUGUAAGCCAGGCUGCCACUUAACUAUGGCCCACACCUAGACUACCAAAAUGAUGAACAAGGGUGGCCUCAAAAAAACAAGAAAUUGCCAUGUGGGCUAUCAUCUGCUCAUCUGCAGCAGCAAUAUUUUCCUCCUCCUGCUUUCCACCUACCUCAUACUUACUGUUACCUCUACACCUUAGCAGCAGCACAGACAUUUGGCUGCAGGGUAAGGUACAGUGUGCUCAGCCAUUUUAGGAAACAGGAUUGCAGUGUGGGCCCUUAGCUGCUUCUCUUUGUCUGUCUAGGUUGUCACACUCCCAGCUAUAGGCCAACCCAGAAAGUACCUCUCCCAUUGCUGGCCUGCUUGAAGGAAAGCUGGCCUUCCCUUUGUUGAUCUGUAAUGGUGUGUGGGAAAGAAGAUUCCUCAAAUAUACACAUGGAACUCUUAGACUAUCAAAGUAUACACACAAAGUCAGCUUUCGAGGUAAUGAUAUUAUUUACCACCAAUGUUGUAGGUGUGUUGUAAGACAUAAAUAAAUACCCGGCCAGAUCCUGAAGUCCAUACUCAAGGGAACGUCUCACUAAAGUCAAAGAGACGUUGUCGGUGUAAAGAGUGAUUAAAAAUGGAGUAAGCGCAGCGUGAUUUUGACCUUUAUUUGUAAAGUGUCUACAUAAGGGCAAAUAUUAUAAAAGCCAUCUAAUGGCAGAGGUGGAAACAAAACACAAGAAAUGCACC